GUCCGUUAGCCCGCAGAAGCCAGUUACAGCAGGAUAUACACAGAGAUUAAAACUACAAUUGCGGGCGAACGGCGGCACGGAGCAAACCAUGAUUCAGUGAAGACUAGUUGUGAUCGGGAUGAAUCUUCAUGAUGACCCAGGAUAGAUGGAAAACAAAGAGAAAAGUGAGCGACUCAGAUCAGAGAAGACGCCCCUGUCAAUAAAUCCUUAGAAGAACAUAAAUCCUUACUGUGGAUCUCAAUCAGCUCAGGGAGAUUAGGAAAUACAAGCAAAAGUUCCUCGGUUGAUAGAAAAUUCUCCUUGCGCAUCUUCUGGUAGAAUAUGUGAUCAAGAACUCGAAGGACCCGAAGAUGAGAUGCCUCUGUCAUAAAAAGCUCUGGAGGAGGAGAAAAUGGAUGAACAUGAGCCGUAAAAAACAUCACAAACAGGAAGACAACUGUUGAGAAGAAACCCAAUGAAGAUGACUAACACCCGUUUACUGAAUAAAACUCAGUCGGAGAAUUAUGGCCAGGAAGAAGUCAAUGUAAACAUGACAUUUAAAGGGUAUUUAGCAGUAAAACAUAUAAAAAUAAAAACAA